CCUACGGGUGGCAGCAGUCGAGAAUCAUGCACAAUGGGGGAAACCCUGAUGGGGCGACGCCGCGUGGGGGAAUGAAGGUCUGCGGAUUGUAAACCCCUGUCAUGUGGGAGCAAAUUAAAAAGAUAGUACCACAAGAGGAAGAGACGACUAACUCUGGGCCAGCAGCCGCGGUAAUACAGAGGGCUCAAGCGUGGUUCGGAAUCACUGGGCGUAAAGGGUGCGUAGGCUGUUUCGUAAGUCGUGUGUGAAAGGCGCGGGCUCAACCCGCGAACGGCACAUGAAACUGGGAGACUAGAGUAAUGGAGGGGGAACCGGAAUUCUCGGUGUAGCAGUGAAAUGCGUAGAUAUCGAGAGGAACACUCGUGGCGAAGGCGGGUUCCUGGACCUUAACUGACGCUGAGGCACGAAGGCCAGGGGAGCGAAAGGGAUUAGAUACCCCAGUAGUC
rnacentral:rRNA from 1 species